UACAGAGGGUGCAAACGUUGUUCGGAAUUACUGGGCGUAAAGCGCGUGUAGGCUGCUCGGAUAGUCGGGUGUGAAAGCCCUGGGCUCAACCCAGGAAGUGCAUUCGAUACUGCCGAGCUUGAGUCCUGGAGAGGAAGGCGGAAUUCUCGGUGUAGAGGUGAAAUUCGUAGAUAUCGAGAGGAACACCGGUGGCGAAGGCGGCCUUCUGGACAGUGACUGACGCUGAGACGCGAAAGCGUGGGGAGCAAACAGG
rnacentral:rRNA from 1 species